rnacentral:sRNA from 1 species
UAGUCAAGUAUAAAUCCUUUAUAAGUUGUUCUGGGUAUUCCCAUCCAUCGGUUGGCUAGAGCCUAGACACUACAAAUUUAUAAGGUCGCUUCCCCG